GACCUCCUUGCGCGGAGGGUCCAGCAUGCCCACUACACCCACGAAUGUCAGGUCCGUCUGGGGAGAUACAGCAGAGAGCCACAGGUCAGGUGGGGAUCUGGAAAACUCCCCUGGAGGAAGCUGGUGGGGGGUGGGGAUGGGGUGAAAGGUCAGGAAGUGGUGGGGAGGGGUGGGAAGCCUGAACCCUGGGCUUGCCGCCUCAGGGCCUGGUGUCAGACCUCAGUGGGGCCUUGGAAGCUCAGAGGCAGGAAACAUCUCAUUCAUCUAAGCACCUGCAGGUGCUGAUGGUGCCAGGCCCAUCAUGGGUCAGAUCGUAUCUUUUUUUUUUUGAGACAGGGUAUUGCUCUGUCACCCAGGCUGGAGUGCAGUGGUACAACGGUGCGAUCAUAGCUCACUGCAGCCUCAAUCUACCAGGCUCAAGCGAUCCUCCUACCUCACCCUCCCAAGUAGCUGGGACUACAGGCAUGCACCAACAUGUCCAGCUAAUUUUUUUUUUUUAAUUUUUAGUAGAGAAAGGAUCUUGCUAUGUUGCCCAGGCUGGUCUCAAACUCCUGGGCUCAACAGAUCCUCCAGCCUCGGCCUCCCAAUGUGCUGCGAUUACAGGCAUAAGCUACCACGCCCAGCCCAAAUCGUGUCUUUCCUUUUUUUUGUUUUUGUUUUUGUUUUGUUUUUUGAGAUGGACUCUUGCUCUGUCACCCACGCUGGAGUGCAGUGGCAAUGGCAUGAUCUCAGCUCACUGCAACCUCCACCUCCCAAGUUGAAGCGAUUCUCCGCCUCAGCCUCCUGAGUAGCUGGGAUUAUAAGGGCGCACCACCACGCCUGGCUAAUUUUUUUAUUUUAGUAGAGACUUGGUUUUACCAUGUUGGCCAGGUUGGUCUCAAACUCCUAACCUCAAGUGAUCUGCCAGGCUUGGCCUCCCAAAGUGCUGGCAUUAUAGGUGUGAGCCCUGACACGUGGCCCCAAAUUGUGUCUUUUUCGGGGGGGGGGGGGCGGGCGCAGGGGAUGGAGUCUCGCUCUGUUGCCCAGGCUGGAGUGCAGUGGCACGAUCUCUGCUCACUGCAACCUCCGCCUCCCAGGUUCAAGCGAUUCUCCUGCCUCAGCCUCCAGAGUAGCUGGGAUUACAGGUGCCCACCACCAAGCCCAGCUAAUUUUUGUAUUUUUAGUAGAGAUGGAGUUUCACCAUAUUGGCCAGGCUGGUCUCAAACUCCUGACCUUGUGAUCUGCCUGCCUUGGCCUCCCAAAAUGCUGGGAUUACAGAUGGGAGCCACCAUGCCCAGCCAAAAUGUGUGUUUCAUAGAAAGAACGUGAACUGGAAGUGAGGUACUGCUUUCUGCUUUUGGCAGUGCCACUACGUGACCCACAACUUAGAAGAAAUCCUCUGUACAAAAUGAAAGGAGGGACUGUGGUGCCAUUCUGGCGCUGGUCUAGUAGAAGUAAGGAGUCUUUGCCAGAACACAGAUCAACUGUCUCGAGACAGUCUUGCUACAGAAAACACAACAGCUGAACUCCCCUAUGUGCUGAGUGGCAUUGGCUCCUGUUCUGGUUCAAGUGGCUCACCUUGUUACCAACCACAGAUCACAUUUGCUAGAUGAUUCCCAAGGUUCAUUCUUUCUCUCUUUUGUGUGUGUGUGUGUGUGUUUUUGUUUUUUGUUUUUAGAGACAGGGCCUUGCUUGUCAUGCAGGCUGGAGUGCAGUGGUGGGAUCAUGGCUCACUGCAGCCUCCAACUCCUAGGUUCAAGUGAUCCUCCCACCUCAGGCUCCCCAGUAGCUGGGUCUACAGGUGUGUGUCACCAUGUCCAGUUCAUCUCUUUUCUUUUAACAUUUUUAAAAAUGUAUUUUACUUUUUACCCAGACCCCUAUGAAUUUAACCAGGUAAUUAAAAAAAUUUUUUUUUUAAUAGAGAUGGGGUUCUCACUUCAUUGCCCAGGCUGGUCUUGAACUCCUGGGCUCAAGCGCUUUUCCCAUCUCAGCUUCCCAAAGUGCUGAGAUUACAGGUGUGAGUCACUGCACCCGGCCUCCCAAGGUUCUCUGAAACUCUACUGUCCUGUGAUUCCAUGGCCUGUACUAAGGAGCCAUCAACUUGACUGACGAGUCUAUGCAGCAUAGAGUGGAGACGGCCCUGUG
rnacentral:lncRNA from 10 species